rnacentral:rRNA from 1 species
AACGCUAGCUACAGGCUUAACACAUGCAAGUCGCGGGGUAACGAGAGGGAAGCUUGCUUUCCUUGUCGACGACCGGCGCACGGGUGAGUAACGCGUAUCCAACCUGCCCAUUACCACGGGAUACCCCGCCGAAAGGCGGCCUAAUACCGUAUGCAGUCGUCAGAUGACAUCAGAGGACGACGAAAGGAUUGGCGGUAAUGGAUGGGGAUGCGUCUGAUUAGGUAGUUGGAGGGGUAACGGCCCACCAAGCCAUCGAUCAGUAGGGGUUCUGAGAGGAAGGUCCCCCACAUUGGAACUGAGACACGGUCCAAACUCCUACGGGAGGCAGCAGUGAGGAAUAUUGGUCAAUGGGCGCGAGCCUGAACCAGCCAAGUAGCGUGAGGGAUGACGGCCCUAUGGGUUGUAAACCUCUUUUACGCGGGAAUAAAAUGUUUGACGUGUCAUACAUUGUAGGUACCGCAAGAAUAAGGACCGGCUAAUUCCGUGCCAGCAGCCGCGGUAAUACGGAAGGUCCAGGCGUUAUCCGGAUUUAUUGGGUUUAAAGGGAGCGUAGGCCGCAAGUCAAGCGUGUUGUGAAAUGCAGGGGCUCAACCUCUGGAUUGCAGCGCGAACUGGCAUGCUUGAGUACGCACGAGGUAGGCGGAAUUUGUGGUGUAGCGGUGAAAUGCUUAGAUAUCACGAAGAACUCCGAUUG